rnacentral:rRNA from 1 species
AUGUUGGGUUAGUCCGCACGAGCGCACCCUAUCCUUAUUUGCCAGCGCGUAGUGGCGGGAACUUUAAGGAGACUGCCGGUGAUAAACCGGAGGAAGGUGGGGACGACGUCAAGUCAUCAUGGCCCUUACGGGAUGGGCUACACACGUGCUACAAUGGCAGGUACAGAGGGCAGCAAUACCGCGAGGUGGAGCGAAUCCCACAAAGCUUGUCGUAGUCCGGAUUGGAGUCUGCAACUCGACUCCAUGAAGUCGGAAUCGCUAGUAAUCGUAGAUCAGAAUGCUACGGUGAAUACGUUCCCGGGCCUGUACACACCGCCCGUCACACCAUGGGAGUGGGAUGCAAAAGAAGUGGCUAGUUUAACCUUUCGGGGAGGACGGUCACCACUUUGUGUUUCAUGACUGGGGUGAAGUCGUAACAAGGUAACCCUAGGGGAACCUGGGGUUGGAUCACCUCCUUAUCUU